rnacentral:rRNA from 1 species
UACGUAGGGGGCAAGCGUUGUCCGGAUUUAUUGGGCGUAAAGAGCGUGUAGGCGGCCUGGAAGGUCAGCUGUGAAAACUCGAGGCUCAACCUCGAGACGUCGGUUGAAACCAUCUGGCUAGAGUCCGGAAGAGGAGAGUGGAAUUCCUGGUGUAGCGGUGAAAUGCGCAGAUAUCAGGAAGAACACCCGUGGCUAAGGCGGCUCUCUAGUACGGUACUGACGCUGAGACGCGAAAGCGUGGGGAGCGAACAGG